rnacentral:piRNA from 1 species
UCCUUAGAUGGCAGGGACAUU